UACGUAGGCAGCAAGCGUUGUUCGGAGUUACUGGGCGUAAAGAGUGCGUAGGUGGUGCCCUAAGUCUGUUGUGAAAUCUCCCGGCUUAACUGGGAGGGUGCGGUGGAAACUGGAAUGCUAGAGGAUGGGAGAGGUAAGCGGAAUUCCUGGUGUAGCGGUGAAAUGCGUAGAUAUCAGGAGGAACACCUGUGGUGUAGACAGCUUACUGGACCAUUUCUGACGCUGAGACACGAAAGCGUGGGUAGCAAACAGG
rnacentral:rRNA from 1 species